AUUAACACUAAUCCAACUCAACUCAACCAAGCCUUCAGUUGCAGUGGUGCAAGCUCGCGAAAGCUAAGCAGUGCCGCUGCAGCCACAAACUAAACUAAUCAAACAAAGGAGCCUAACUAAGCUCAACCACAAAAACCAAAUUCUCAACGAUGGAUAUCUUGGUUCCCAUAACGAUGAAGAACGCAGCGAAGUGCGAUAAGCAAUGCGAAUUGCAGAACCGUGAGUCAUCAGAUUUUUGAACGCAUCUGGCGCCGGCUGGCUCUCCAGCCGGCAUGCUUGUUUCAGUGUCUUGUUUUCUCCUCACCCAAAUCUUAAUGCGAGAGAUACCCUUCUCUUGUUAAGCAAGAAAGCACUCUGCGCUCUGCGAGCGACUUCGACUAGUUCGAGGGUCGCACUCAAUGCAGCAGUCACAUUGCUCACAAUGUGAACUCAUUGAGAGCAGAGGCAGUGCAGCAUACGCUGCCAGUGCUUAGACACGCCAACUUUCUUUGUAUCUGAAAUCAAGCAGGAUCACCCGCUGAACUUAAGCAUAUCAAUAAGCGGAGGAAAU
rnacentral:rRNA from 1 species